UUGUUUUGGCAGAUUUAGUGCAAUGAAUUUAGAAUUCAUAUAUGUAAUUAUAUUACAAAUAAUA
rnacentral:tRNA from 1 species